ACUUUAAGCAAAAAUACUACCACACAACAAAUUGUGCGGCCACACUGCUGCUAAUCCCAUUCAGGGCGCCCGGUGUCACAACAAAAAUAAGCAACAAGGUGCAUUAAUUAAUAAUAGCAUAACAAUGACCACGCUGCGGCCGUUUACUUGCGAUGACCUAUUUAAAUUCAAUAAUGUUAACUUCGACCCGCUGACUGAAACUUAUGGUUUAUCGUUCUACACGCAAUAUCUGGCCAAAUGGCCAGAGUAUUUUCAACUGGCGGAGUCACCCAGCGAGCACAUUAUGGGCUACAUCAUGGGCAAAGUAGAGGGACACAUGGAUAAUUGGCAUGGACAUGUCACGGCGUUAACAGUUUCGCCCGAUUACAGGCGAUUGGGAUUAGCGGCUCUGCUGAUGAACUUCCUCGAAGACAUAUCUGAGAAGAAACGCGCCUAUUUUGUGGAUCUAUUUGUACGCAAGAGCAACAAGGUGGCAAUUAACAUGUACACUAAUCUGGGCUACAUCAUAUAUCGCACUAUACUUGAAUAUUAUUCCGGCGAUCAAGACGAGGAUGCGUAUGAUAUGCGCAAGGCGCUGUCACGAGAUGUGAACAAAAAGUCGGUUAUACCGUACACGCAGCCAGUACGAUUGGAAGAUAUAGAUAUGAAUUGAUACAUCCACCCGAUACCAAUACCAAUUUACCAAUACAGCCCGCAUUUAUGUCUAACUGCAAAAGAAUUCUAUAAAUUACUGAUUGAUCACCCAAAGCUGAUACUCCUCCUACUCCUAUUAGUCCUUUAUACCUGGAAAGAUCUUAGUUAUUAAAUUUUCAAUUGUAUCUAAUUGAGUUCUCCCCUCUCUAGCAUUUCUAAUCCGGUCCCAAAAUUUAACUUAUCUUGUUGUUAUGUUCAUAAUACUUAUUACAUACAUAUAUAUAUAUAGACAUAUAUAGUAUCUACUCGAUUUUGUUAUCAGAGUUCUUAAGCCGACUGUAACACUGACUUUAUUUUCUUAAAGAUUACGAUGCGCGAACUGCGUCACCAACUGCGUCACGAUGGCUAUUAGCCCAGCAAAGGAGUAUCACCAAAACUAUAUACACGAAGAAACCAAAAUAAAAUAAAAUAAUUCAUAUUUUUAUUUCUCCUCUCUUUUGAGAUUAAAUUAGCUAUUAUCAUUUUUUAGAGAUGACAAAUUCAAUUCACCAGUUGGUAAUCAGCUCUCAAAUUGAAGACUGCGUUGAA